AGCGUCUGAGGAUGGGUCUGCGGCCGAUUAGGUAGUUGCUGGGGUAACGUCCCAACAAGCCGAUAAUCGGUACGGGUUGUGAGAGCAAGAGCCCGGAGAUGGAUUCUGAGACACGAAUCCAGGCCCUACGGGGCGCAGCAGGCGCGAAAACUUUACACUGCGCGAAAGCGCGAUAAGGGGACCUCGAGUGCGUGCGCAAUGCGUACGCUUUUCAGAUGCCUAAAAAGCAUGUGGAAUAAGGGCCGGGCAAGACCGGUGCCAGCCGCCGCGGUAACACCGGCGGCUCAAGUGGUGGCCGCUAUUAUUGGGCUUAAAGGGUCCGUAGCCGGACCAGUUAGUCCCUUGGGAAAUCUUACGGCUUAACCGUAAGGCUGCCAAUGGAUACUGCUGGUCUUGGGACCGGGAGAGGUAAGAGGUACUUCAGGGGUAGGAGUGAAAUCCUGUAAUCCUUGAGGGACCGCCAGUGGCGAAGGCGUCUUACUAGAACGGGUCCGACGGUGAGGGACGAAAGCUAGGGGCACGAACCGGAUUAGAUACCCGGGUAGUCCUAGCCGUAAACGAUGCGAGCUAGGUGUCACGUGGAUUGCGAAUCCAUGUGGUGCCGAAGGGAAACCGUGAAGCUCGCCGCCUGGGAAGUACGGCCGCAAGGCUGAAACUUAAAGGAAUUGGCGGGGGAGC
rnacentral:rRNA from 1 species